rnacentral:rRNA from 1 species
CAAAAACAUCGCUAGAUGGGUUUAAUAUUUAGUUGUUUCUGCUCAAUGGUUAACUAAAUAGCCGCAGUACCCUGACUGUGCAAAGGUAGCAUAAUCAUUUGGCUCAUAAUUGGAGUCUGGCAUGAAAGAAUUAAUGGAUAACCACUGUCUUUUUAGGUUUCUCAGAAAUUACUGAGUAGGUGAAAAUACCUACAUUUUAAUAAUAGACGAGAAGACCCUAGAAAUUUUAUAUAAGGUGGUGAUAGAUUAUUAUAAUUAUUUUGUUGGGGCGACAGAAUAACAAGUAACUUAUUUUAUUUGAUAGGAACUAUAUGUUGUGUUAAAAUAAAUUACUCUAGGGAUAACAGCAUAAUUUAUUAGAGUUUGUGACCUCGAUGUUGGACUAGGGUUUGGCGUGCUUAGAAGGCACCACAACUAGCUCUGUUCGAGCAAAGACCCCUACGUGAUCU